GAAAUAUGUUAAUCAAGAAUAAGCUUCUAACUUUUUUCUUUAGCAGUGAAAUUCUGUUAAUAUUUCU
rnacentral:tRNA from 1 species